GAUGAACGCUAGCGAUAGGCCUAACACAUGCAAGUCGAGGGGCAUCACAUGAAGUAGCAAUACGGAUGGUGGCGACCGGCGCACGGGUGAGUAACACGUAUGCAACCUGCCUUCAACAAGGGGAUAACCCGUUGAAAGACGGACUAAUACCCUAUAACACAGGGGUCCCGCAUGGGGAUAUUUGUUAAAGGACAACCGGUUGAAGAUGGGCAUGCGUUCCAUUAGCUAGUUGGCGGGGUAAGGGCCCACCAAGGCAACGAUGGAUAGGGGAACUGAGAGGUUUAUCCCCCACACUGGUACUGAGACACGGACCAGACUCCUACGGGAGGCAGCAGUGAGGAAUAUUGGUCAAUGGACGCAAGUCUGAACCAGCCACGUCGCGUGAAGGAAGGCGGCCCUACGGGUUGUAAACUUCUUUUGCAAGGGAAUAAAGUGGGCCACGUGUGGCCUUUUGCAAGUACCUUGCGAAUAAGGAUCGGCUAACUCCGUG
rnacentral:rRNA from 1 species